rnacentral:lncRNA from 1 species
CGGUCUUGAAGAGGAAGUGACUCGGUGGAAGCGUUAAGUUGUUGUGGUGUUGUAGCCAUUCAGUUACAGUUACGGUUACAGAUUUUUGCCUUGCUUGUUGAACAGCGAAGACACUGAAUUUUUUUUUAAGCUUCAACUUGAAUUUGAAAGAACAAAAACUAAAUCGUUUAUCAUAUCAAAAUUUAAAAAAUAAAAUUGAAUACAAAAUUAAAAAAUUAUUAUGCAUG